GAUAGCCUACGGGACGCAGCAGUGGGGAAUAUUGCAUAAUGGGGGAAACCCUGAUGCAGCGACGCCGCGUGAGCGAGGAAGUACCUCGGUAUGUAAAGCUCUGUCAGCAGGGAAGAAAAUGACAGUACCUGACCAAGAAGCCCCGGCUAACUACGUGCCAGCAGCCGCGGUAAUACGUAGGGGGCAAGCGUUAUCCGGAUUUACUGGGUGUAAAGGGAGCGUAGACGGUGAGACAAGUCUGAAGUGAAAGCCUGGGGCUCAACCCCGGGACUGCUUUGGAAACUGCCUGACUGGAGUGCUG
rnacentral:rRNA from 1 species